rnacentral:tRNA from 1 species
GGAGAGGUGUCCGAGCGGCCGAAGGAGCACGACUGGAAAUCGUGUAGGCGUUAAUAGCGUCUCGCGGGUUCAAAUCCCGCCCUCUCCGCCA